rnacentral:rRNA from 1 species
AGGUCCAGCCUGCCCAGUGAUAAAUUCAACGGCCGCGGUACCCUAACCGUGCAAAGGUAGCAUAAUCACUUGUUUCUUAAAUAGGGACUUGUAUCAAAGGCACCACGAGGGUUCUACUGUCUCCUCUCUCUAAUCAGUGAAAUUGAUCCCCCCGUGAAGAAGCGGGGAUAAUAUUAUAAGACGAGAAGACCCCAUGGAGCUUUAAACCAAACAACAACUCAAUUUUAUAUCCCUAAACAAACAAUAGAGAAAUGUUGUAAGGUUUUGGGUUGGGGAGACCACGGAGUAAAAAUUAACCUCCACGACGAAAGGACCUAGUCUUUAUUUAAGAAUUACCCUUCAAAAAAUUAGUAUACUAACGAGUAAUGAUCCAAUAUUUGAUCAACGGACCAAGUUACCCUGGGGAUAACAGCGCAAUCUACUUCGAGAGCCCAUAUCGACAAGUAGGCUUACGACCUCGAUGUUGGAUCAGGGUAUCCUAGUGGUGCAGCCGCUACUAAUGGUUCGUUUGUUCAACGAU